rnacentral:rRNA from 1 species
UCGAGGAUCUUUGGCAAUGGGCGCAAGCCUGACCAAGCGACGCCGCGUGUGCGAUGAAGGCCUUCGGGUUGUAAAGCACUGUCGAGGGGGAGUAAGCCGAAAGGUUGAACUAUCCCUGGAGGAAGCACGGGCUAAGUUCGUGCCAGCAGCCGCGGUAAGACGAACCGUGCGAACGUUGUUCGGAAUCACUGGGCUUAAAGGGCGCGUAGGCGGGUUUGCAAGUCUGCGGUGAAAUCCUCCAGCUUAACUGGAGAAGUGCCGUGGAUACUGCGGAUCUCGAGGAGGGUAGGGGCAUCUGGAACGUUGGGUGGAGCGGUGAAAUGCGUUGAUAUCCAACGGAACUCCGGUGGCGAAGGCGAGGUGCUGGACCCUUUCUGACGCUGAGGCGCGAAAGCCAGGGGAGCAAACGGGAUUAGAUACCCCCGUAGUCC